AUUGAACGCUGGCGGCAUGCCUUACACAUGCAAGUCGAACGGCAGCACGGGAGCAAUCCUGGUGGCGAGUGGCGAACGGGUGAGUAAUAUAUCGGAACGUGCCCAGUCGUGGGGGAUAACGUAGCGAAAGCUACGCUAAUACCGCAUACGAUCUACGGAUGAAAGCGGGGGAUCGCAAGACCUCGCGCGAUUGGAGCGGCCGAUAUCAGAUUAGCUAGUUGGUGAGGUAAAGGCUCACCAAGGCGACGAUCUGUAGCUGGUCUGAGAGGACGACCAGCCACACUGGAACGGAGACACGGUCCAGACUCCUACGGGAGGCAGCAGUGGGGAAUUUUGGACAAUGGGCGCAAGCCUGAUCCAGCAAUGCCGCGUGCAGGAUGAAGGCCUUCGGGUUGUAAACUGCUUUUGUACAGAACGAAACGGUCCUUUCUAAUACAAAGGGCUAAUGACGGUACUGUAAGAAUAAGCACCGGCUAACUACGUGCCAGCCGCCGCAGUAA
rnacentral:rRNA from 1 species